CGACCGGCGCACGGGUGAGUAACGCGUAUGCGACCUGCCCGUUGCAGGGGGGAUAAUCGGGAGAAAUCCCGUCUAAUACCGCGUAACGCCGCGGGGCUGCAUGGCCCUGCGGCCAAAGGGAGCGAUUCCGGCAACGGAUGGGCAUGCGUGACAUUAGCUAGUUGGCGGGGCAACGGCCCACCAAGGCGACGAUGUCUAGGGGUUCUGGGAGGAAGGUCCCCCACACUGGUACUGAGACACGGACCAGACUCCUACGGAAGGCAGCAG
rnacentral:rRNA from 1 species